rnacentral:rRNA from 1 species
CCUACGGGAGGCAGCAGUGGGGAAUAUUGCACAAUGGAGGGAACUCUGAUGCAGCGACGCCGCGUGAGUGAAGAAGUAAUUCGUUAUGUAAAGCUCUAUCAGCAGGGAAGAAAGUGACGGUACCUGAAAAAGAAGCUCCGGCUGAAUACGUGCCAGCAGCCGCGGUACUACCUAUGGAGCAAGGGGUAUCCGGAUUUAUUGGGUGGAAAGGGUGAGUAGGUGGCAGAGAAAGUCCGCAGUGAAAACCCACAGCCCAACUAUGGGAAUGCUUUGGAAACUGGUUAGCUAGAGUGCAGGAGAGGCAAGUGGAAUUCUUAGUGUAGCGGUGAAAUGCGUAGAUAUUAGGAGGAACACCAGUGGCGAAGGCGGCUUGCUGGACUGUAACUGACACUGAGGCUCGAAAGCGUGGGGAGCAAACAGGAUUAGAUACCCUAGUAGUC